GUAGGUGAACCUGCGGAAGGAUCAUUAAAGUUAUAGUCCCCUGGCCCUCUGGGCUGGGGUCUUCUAUACCACCCUUUGUUUAUUACACCUUUGUUGCUUUGGCAGGCCUGCCCUCGGGCUGCUGGCUCCGGCCGGCUCGUGCCUGCCAGAGGACCUAAACUCUGUUUGUAUAUGAAGUCUGAGUACUAUAUAAUAGUUAAAACUUUCAACAACGGAUCUCUUGGUUCUG
rnacentral:misc_RNA from 1 species